rnacentral:rRNA from 1 species
CCUGCCCAAUGGUUGUAUCUAAAAGCGGUUGAUAAAAGUCGACCGCGUAAGGACAAUUGAAUGGCCGCGGUAACACUGACCGUGAUAAUGUAGCGUAAUCAAUAGCCAAUUAAUUGUUGGCCAGUAUGAAUGGCGCCCGAAGGCCCCACUGUCUUAAGGAAAUUCCCAGUGAAAUUGAAUUYGUAGUGAAGAUGCUACGUCCAAUUUGUUAGACGAAAAGACCCCGUUGAGCUUUACUGGGGCACUUACACGGCCCCGGCCUUCAAGACUGGGUUGAUAAGCCAAGGCUUACCAUACCUAGGGACCGGCCGAAUUUAAAUGGGCGGCUUAGACUAUGUGGCAGCCCCCCCCGUCGGGGCAGAUGAAACCCCACUCCCCCAUGUCAAAGGGGCUAACCCCCCCCCCCUUGGGGGGGGACAAUGUAAGUAGGACAGUUUGGUUGGGGCGACCGCCUUUUAGAGAGUAACGAAGGUGCGCUUAAGGUGCGUAAUUAAUGACUGAAGCCUGACUGCGAGGGGGACACCCCGAGCAGACACCCCCAAGCCCGCCCGAGAAGGCUUUGCCUUCUGGGCGGCGGUGGGGUGG